UGUAAUAUCUGUACUGAUCCUUGACUAUAUUUAUAGGGAUACAUUCUGGAGAUAAAAUAUAAAAUCUUGGCCGAAUCCAAACCUGGAGAAUCUAGACCGGAAGUUCACCAGCCUAGACCGGAAGUUGAGAAAAUCCUUGAAGAAAUAAUAAAAAGGAAUCCAGGGAGAGGAGAUAUAUAUCUCAAGCUGAUAGAAGAGAAAGGGUUUAAGAAGGAUGAGGAAAUUGCUGAGUUUUGCUCUGGGUACCUCGAGACCAGUGAUACUCCACUUAUCCUUGCUCUUAAACUUUGCUCUGGGGUAGUAUUCAGGAGUCUGUGUUUAACUUAUCUUACUGGAAGACUGGAAAAGAGAGUUCCGAAUGCUAUGCAAAUAUUCAAAGGC